GACGCGAGGGGUAUGCUGGGAAAGUUUUGAUAAAACGCCAUUUUGCUCCCAGAAGAACAGGGACGGCAGGAAAGGUUGUAGCUAACAAGCUAUAUAGCACGCAUUUCCUGGCACAUUAACGUUAAAUCUCCAGUGGACACAAUGGCAAGUCCAGGGAAAGACAACUACAGGAUGAAGAGCUAUAAGAACAAAGCCUUAAAUCCUCAGGAGAUGCGACGAAGGAGAGAGGAGGAAGGAAUUCAGCUACGCAAACAGAAAAGAGAGGAGCAGCUGUUCAAGAGGAGAAAUGUAUAUGUACCUUCAAAUGAUGAAUCAAUGUUGGAAUGUCCGAUCCAGGAUCCAGACAUUAGCUCCACAGUGCCUGUUGCAGGUGAUGGAGUCAUAACUCCAGAUAUGAUUCAGAUGAUCUUCUCUGAUGACCCAGACCAGCAGCUAAUUGCUACACAGAAAUUUAGGAAAUUACUCUCCAAAGAGCCCAACCCACCCAUAGAUGAUGUCAUUUCCACUGCUGGUGUUGUAAAUCGUUUUGUGGAGUUUCUGAAGAGGAGUGAAAACUGCACACUGCAGUUUGAGGCGGCCUGGGCACUGACCAACAUCGCCUCAGGUACCUUUCUGCACACCAAGGUCGUGAUUGAAACGGGAGCAGUUCCCAUUUUCAUUGAGCUACUGAACUCUGACUAUGAGGACGUCCAGGAACAGGCCGUAUGGGCACUGGGGAACAUAGCAGGAGAUAAUGCUGAGUGCAGAGACUACGUGCUCAACUGUGGCAUCCUGCCAUUUCUACAACAGCUACUUGCUAAAUCCAAACGUCUCACAACAACCCGCAAUGCAGUGUGGGCUCUGUCCAACUUGUGCCGAGGGAAGAACCCACCACCAGAUUUUGCUAAGGUGUCUCCUUGUCUCAGCGUGCUAUCCAGGCUUCUUUUCAGUAGUGAUCCAGAUGUGCUGGCUGAUGCUUGCUGGGCUCUGUCCUACCUGUCUGACGGCCCUAAUGAAAAGAUCCAGACGGUCAUUGACUCCGGGGUCUGCCGCAGACUGGUAGAGCUGCUCAUGCAUAUCAGCGAGGCCCAUAUGCCAUACUCAACGAUGCCUGUCAUGCAGAUUUAUUUGGAAGGCCAUGACAUGAGGUCAGAUUACAGACUCUCCAGAGAAACCUUUUAUGGUCUCUUGGCCAUCUUAAACCUAAGAAGAGACCAUGGAUGGGGCCCAGCUUUUGAAGUUCUUGUUUUCAUUUACUGGUCACACCAGGUCACAUCUCGAGCUUUUGAUGUCCCGAAGUCGUCUGUGUGCAUAAUUGUGCACAGGAUUGCACUGGCCAUCAGAAGAUCCAAAUCAAGGGUCAUCUUCUUCCCUGCCAUACACCAGCUGGAGGAAGUUGGAAGGGGAUUUGGGCAGCUGGCCCAGCAUGAGGCCUUCAACAAUGCUGUAGGGGCCAUAGAUGGCUGCCAGAUACGCAUCAAACCACCUAGAUGCGAGCAAUAUGAUUACUUUAAUUACAAUCAGUUUCAUUCAAUUUAAUUACAAGCCAUCUGCGACACAACCGGGAGAUUUUUGGACAUUUAUGUUGGUUACGGGGGUUCGGUACAUGACACCAGGGUUUUGAGAAACAGUCCUGUUUAUUUUAAUUCCUUGUCAGGCUCGCAUUUUGCUCUGAAGUGAUAAUGGCCUGCGCAGUCCUCCACAACAUGUGCCUUAGACAUGGGGAUGUCCUGGAAGAGCCAGAGAUCGAGCCUGAGGAGCCUGGUACCCCUGCUCCCCCUGCUCCAGUUAAAGACACCCAGGAGAGAAGUGGAGCCCACAUCAGGGACAGGCUAUGUGCCCAAAUAUCAGCCCCCCAGCAACCUUAGGCCAUUUGAAGAAAGCAGUACAGUGAAAGCCUUUUUUUUCUGAAUAGUUUUGCCUGAGAUAAAUGCCCUUCUUGUUUUGCCAUUUUAGACACAAUUGUGUUCACCUUUUCUGUUCAGCCAUGAAAAUGCCAGUUUAUGUUAAACGUCUACAAAAACUCUACCUUAUUGAGUUCAGAGGUUAUUGUUUGUGAUGGAUGCAACAUUUUCUUUGAAUGACAGCAUACAAUUCAGGUGCGCACCUUAAAAUAUUGACAUAUAUUGAUAUAGACUUACUUACAACAAAAUCUUUAAAUGCACCUACUAGAAAUCACAAUUCAACAAUAACACAGAAAACAAAUGCAGAUGCCAGCCAACUCAAUUUUAAUGUGAAGCAGCUUUAAAUAAAUACAUUUUCAUUUUUUGUUCAACACAAAAUUCUAAAUGAUAUAAAGAAACCCCUAGAGUCCACAACUUAAGAUUUUCAUUCUGCAGGAUUAAUUGAAAGUUAUUUUUGUUUGUCAACUAAUGCUCCAAAUACGCUGGUGAGCCUGUCAAGCUGCUCCUCCUUUUUCUUCUCUCUCCUCUUCUUUUAAAUCUAGCUCUCUCUGCCUACUUUCCUGUCUCUCUGUAUAUUCUUUCAGGUACUCCACAACCUCAUUGUUUCUUUUUUUGGGGUUGGGAGCUUGGUCUCGAUCUUCAUUUGGGGUGGUGGAAGACAAAGUUGAGGGGGUGGGAGCUUGGUCUUGGAUUUCAUCCUGGGUAGUGGUAGUGGAAGUGGAGGUGCUGGGUGUCUCUCCAUCCUCUGCAUCUGAAUCCACUGCUGUGGCUAUGACAUUAAGGGGUCUGAUGGAGUGUCUGUGCCCAAGGGCAUUGUGCAUCGCCGCAAAGAACGGCCAAGUCCCAGCUGUGGUCUGCCCCUCUUUCCCCGAACCCGUCUUUGGCAGGAUGAGGUCCUGUGGUUAAAAAUGUAAUGUUAUACAUAAGUUACAGGCUAAACCUUUUCUCUCUCUCUCUCUCUUAUUUUUAUUUGUUAAAAAAAAAAAAAAAAAAAAACAUCAUAUCAGUAACUUGGACAAUUGUUGAAGAUUCACCAGUGUUAAGUAAACCCAUUCUAAAGAAAACAAAAACAUAAUAAUAAUAACAACAACAAUAACAACCCAGGUGUUCAGACAGCCCAUUCACACAGGCUGGAAAUAGAUGAUUCAUCCUAUAUCUCAACUUCAAAUUAUCCCACUUCCUGCCUGCUUGGUAUGGGGUGAUGAUAUUUUCAAGGCCCAUUUCUUGUAAGAUCUCUCUGU